rnacentral:rRNA from 1 species
AUUGAACGCUGGCGGCAGGCCUAACACAUGCAAGUCGAGCGGAUGAAGGGAGCUUGCUCCUGGAUUCAGCGGCGGACGGGUGAGUAAUGCCUAGGAAUCUGCCUGGUAGUGGGGGAUAACGUCCGGAAACGGGCGCUAAUACCGCAUACGUCCUGAGGGAGAAAGUGGGGGAUCUUCGGACCUCACGCUAUCAGAUGAGCCUAGGUCGGAUUAGCUAGUUGGUGGGGUAAAGGCUUACCAAGGCGACGAUCCGUAACUGGUCUGAGAGGAUGAUCAGUCACACUGGAACUGAGACACGGUCCAGACUCCUACGGGAGGCAGCAGUGGGGAAUAUUGGACAAUGGGCGAAAGCCUGAUCCAGCCAUGCCGCGUGUGUGAAGAAGGUCUUCGGAUUGUAAAGCACUUUAAGUUGGGAGGAAGGGCAGUAAGUUAAUCCCUUGCUGUUUUGACGUUACCAACAGAAUAAGCACCGGCUAACUUCGUG